GUGUCCAGGGGCGGGAAUCGAACCCACAACCUUCUGCUUACCGGGCAGGUGCCAUGUCCACUAGGAAAAGA